GGGAGCCAAGCCAAGAGGAUGUAGGUCCCACAACAGUGUGACCCUAAGGAAAGAGGCAUUGAGAAGACAGCAAGCAGUCCAGCCUGGCCAUAGCAUGAAGAACGUAAAGGAGAGCAGAGAAAGAUAAGCCUGCAAAGCUCCUGAGCAGGGUGUGCGUGAGAGAGGCUGCCAUGGGCAGGCCCCAGGCUGGGCAGACUUACCAGCCAACCUUUCGGAGCUCCAGAGGAAGAGAAG